rnacentral:rRNA from 1 species
CCCCUAGAUGUUCUGGGCCGCACGCGCGCUACACUGAACAGUUCAACAAGUCUUAACCUUGGCCGAUAGGUCUGGGUAAUCUUUGAACGCUGUUCGUGAUUGGGAUAGACCUUUGCAAUAAUGGGUCUUCAACGAGGAAUUCCUAGUAAACGCAAGUCAUCAGCUUGCAUUGAUUACGUCCCUGCCCUUUGUACACACCGCCCGUCGCACCUACCGAUUGAAUGGUCCGGUGAAAUCUCGGGACGGCGGCUUGGUCGCUUGCGUCCGACUGCUGAAACUUGAUUAAACCAUAUCAUUUAGAGGAAGGUGAAGUCGUAACA